rnacentral:rRNA from 1 species
UACGAAGGGGGCUAGCGUUGCUCGGAAUCACUGGGCGUAAAGCGCACGUAGGCGGAUUGCUAAGUCAGGGGUGAAAUCCUGGAGCUCAACUCCAGAACUGCCUUUGAUACUGAGAAGCUUGAGUCCGGGAGAGGUGAGUGGAACUGCGAGUGUAGAGGUGAAAUUCGUAGAUAUUCGGAAGAACACCAGUGGCGAAGGCGACAUACUGGUCCGUUACUGACGCUGAGGCUCGAAAGCGUGGGGAGCAAACAGG